GCUUCCGUGGUGUAGCGGUCUAAUACGUCUGACCCGGCUUGUCAGACUGUCUAGACGUGGGUUCGAAUCCCAUCGGUGGCG